rnacentral:tRNA from 1 species
UGACCGUCGGCCGCGGGCAGUCCCGGCCGUCGGACAUCAAGGAGGUGAGACCCAUUACCGCUGUGUCGGCCCGGG